rnacentral:rRNA from 1 species
AAAUGAAUAGACGGGGGCCCGCACAAGCAGUGGAUUAUGUGGUUUAAUUCGAAGCAACGCGAAGAACCUUACCAGGGCUUGACAUCCUCUGACAACUCUAGAGAUAGAGCCUCCCUUCGGGGCAGAGAGACAGGUGGUGCAUGGUUGUCGUCAGCUCGUGUCGUGAGAUGUUUGGUUAAGUCCAAUAACGAGCGCAACCCCUAUGGUCAGUUGCCAGCAUUUAGUUGGGCACUCUGGCAAGACUGCCGCGGACAACGCGGAGGAAGGAGGGGACGACGUCAAAUCAUCAUGCCCCUUAUGUCCUGGGCUACACACGUAAUACAAUGGCAACGACAGAGGGCAGCAAACCCGCGAGGGCAAGCAAAUCCCCAAACGUUGUCCCAGUUCGGACUGCAGGCUGCAACUCGCCUGCACGAAGUCGGAAUUGCUAGUAAUGGCAGGUCAGCAUACUGCCGUGAAUACGUUCCCGGGCCUUGUACACACCGCCCGU